AAUUCGACGCAACGCGCAGAACCUUACCUGGUCUUGACAUCCCGGGAAUUCCUUGAAAGAGGGAAGUGCCUCGCAAGAGGAGCCUGGAGACAGGUGCUGCAUGGCUGUCGUCAGCUCGUGUCGUGAGAUGUUGGGUUAAGUCCCGCAACGAGCGCAACCCUUGUCUUUAGUUGCCAUCAUUCAGUUGGGCACUCUAAAGAGACUGCCGGUGUCAAACCGGAGGAAGGUGGGGAUGACGUCAAGUCCUCAUGGCCUUUAUGACCAGGGCUACACACGUACUACAAUGGCCGGUACAAAGGGCAGCCACUUAGCGAUAAGGAGCCAAUCCCGUAAAGCCGGUCUCAGUCCGGAUUGGAGUCUGCAACUCGACUCCAUGAAGUUGGAAUCGCUAGUAAUCGCAGAUCAGCACGCUGCGGUCGAAUACGUUCCCGGGCCUU
rnacentral:rRNA from 1 species